GGGGCGGUGGCGAAACGGCAGACGCAGCGGACUUAAAAUCCGCCGGGGGUGACUCCGUGUGGGUUCGAAUCCCACCCGCCCUA
rnacentral:tRNA from 1 species